UUUAAUGAGGCACCUAGCAAUGCGUCUUACUAAAUAUGUGUACUCUUUUUCCUUCGCUGAGAUUUUUUUUCCCACGUGGUUUUUUCCUAGUAAGGUUUUAAUGAAGCUACAUUAUCUUUUUAAUGAACAUCCAAGGGGGAGUGUUAUAAAUAUAUUAUAUUAUGGAUGUUCAUUUAGUACUCCGUUGUAAAUAAGCUUCCUGAAGAAGCUUAUCCAUAUGGGACUCCACCGUAAAUAUGUUUAUCUAUUUAGUACUAUAUUGGAAAUAAGCUUCCUGAAGAAACUUAUCACUUCGGUACCCAGUUAUGGAUAAACAUUACCUCCGGUAGAAGAUUAUCCAUACCGGAUAUAAUGAGCUUAUCUUUUCAUUACCCGGUUAUGG
rnacentral:lncRNA from 1 species